rnacentral:rRNA from 1 species
AACGAACGCUGGCGGCAUGCUUAACACAUGCAAGUCGAACGGAAAGGCCCUGCUUGCAGGGUACUCGAGUUGCGAACUGGUGAAUAACACGUGGGUGAUCUGCACUGCACUUCUGGAUGAGCCUGGAAGACUGGGUCUAAUACCGAAUAGGAGCCACUUUUAGCGUGUUAGUUGGAGAGUUUUUUUCAGUUUAGGAUGAGCUAUUGGCCUAUGAGCUAGUUGGUGGGGUAAUGGCCUACCAAGGCGGCCACGGGUUGCCAGCCUGAGAGGUUGGACGGCGACACUGGGACUGAAACACGGUCCAGGCUCUGACGGGAGGCAGCAGUGGGGAAUAUUGGACGAUGUGGGCAAGCCUGAUCCAUCCGUACCGCGUUGAUGAAGAAGGCCUUCGUGUUGUAAAGCCCUUUUGUUGGGAAAGAAAAGCAGCGGGUUAAUACACCGCUGUUCUGACGGUACCCAAAGAAUAAGCACCGGCUAACUUCGUG